rnacentral:rRNA from 1 species
CCUACGGGAGGCAGCAGUGGGGAAUAUUGGGCAAUGGAGGCAACUCUGACCCAGCAACGCCGCGUGAAUGAUGAAGGUCUUCGGAUUGUAAAGUUCUGUGAUGGGGGAUGAACACAAUGACGGUACCCCAAUAGCAAGCCACGGCUAACUACGUGUCAGCAGCCGCGGUAAUACGUAGGUGGCAAGCGUUAUCCGGAAUGACUGGGCGUAAAGGGUGCGUAGGUGGUUUAGUAAGUUGGCGGUGUAAUUCCGGGGCUCAACCUCGGCGCUACCGCCAAAACUAUUAGACUAGAGUGCAGGGGGGGUAAGUGGAAUUCCUAGUGUAGCGGUGGAAUGCGUAGAUAUUAGGAGGAACAUCAGGGGCGAAGGCGACUUACUGGACUGUAACUGACACUGAGGCACGAAAGCGUGGGGAGCAAACAGGAUUAGAUACCCCAGUAGUC